GACGUAGGGCGCGAGCGUUGUCCGGAUUUAUUGGGCGUAAAGAGCUCGUAGGCGGCUUGUCGCGUCGACUGUGAAAUCCCGCGGCUCAACUGCGGGUCUGCAGUCGAUACGGGCAGGCUAGAGUUCGGUAGGGGAGACUGGAAUUCCUGGUGUAGCGGUGAAAUGCGCAGAUAUCAGGAGGAACACCGGUGGCGAAGGCGGGUCUCUGGGCCGAUACUGACGCUGAGGAGCAAAAGCGUGGGGAGCGAACAGG
rnacentral:rRNA from 1 species